UUGUCCUACGGGAGGCAGCAGUGGGGGAUAUUGCACAAUGGGGGAAACCCUGAUGCAGCGACGCCGCGUGGGUGAAGAAGCGCCUCGGCGCGUAAAGCCCUGUCAGCAGGGAAGAAAAUGACGGUACCUGAAGAAGAAGCCCCGGCUAACUACGUGCCAGCAGCCGCGGUAAUACGUAGGUGGCAAGCGUUGUCCGGAUUUACUGGGUGUAAAGGGCGUGUAGCCGGGCUGACAAGUCAGAUGUGAAAUUCCGGGGCUCAACCCCGGACCUGCAUUUGAAACUGUUGGUCUUGAGUAUCGGAGAG
rnacentral:rRNA from 1 species